rnacentral:rRNA from 1 species
UACGGAGGGUGCAAGCGUUGUCCGGAUUUAUUGGGUUUAAAGGGUGCGUAGGCGGUUUUAUAAGUCAGUGGUGAAAGACGUCAGCUUAACUGUCGCAGUGCCAUUGAUACUGUAGAACUUGAGUAUAGUUGAGGUAGGCGGAAUUUAUGGUGUAGCGGUGAAAUGCAUAGAUACCAUAAGGAACCCCAAUAGCGUAGGCAGCUUACUAAACUAUAACUGACGCUGAGGCACGAAAGCAUGGGUAGCGAACAGG